GAUCCGGGCCCGUACACAGACGCCGAACGAACAGCACCUCCUCUGUUCGCCCAAGGCUCAACAACAACGGAUACAUGUAUAAAGAAAUUAAACAAUUCCCAGGAUCACAUUUCAAUAUACAUGGCUUGCACGAAGACAAGCAACAACACAAGUGAUAGUAAGUCUAACUAAACAUGAAAUCCACUGUAAUUUAAAACUUUACAUAACUGAAAUAUUUAGUUAUUACAUGCUUUAUAUACAUUCAUUUACAUGUCUCUGUACAUCGAAAUAGAUGAUACAUGAACCCAAAAUGGUAUACCACUAGUACUCGGGUGUCCACUAGCUAGGCUGCUGGCUCUUGCCUCGAUCCUCGGCCACAAUACUCGCACUGGAACCUGUAUGGUUAGUGGUGUGAGAACUACAAGAAAGUUCCCAGUGGGUUCGGCCGCCGACCUCGCCGACUCACCCACUAGAUCUACUCAGGCAUAUGUAGACAAGAAAAGUAAACAGAUAGUAACCAACUAUAACAUGUAACUACUACAAUGCCUGCACAAAGCUGAAAGGAAGCAAUAUAGGAAAACUGUAAUUAUGCAUGUAUGCUUUUCACUAACUUUACCCAAUCUUUUGGUUAACCCUCUGGUUAACAGCUGGACAAGUACGUUAGUCCUGGGGCAAGUACGUUAGCCCAUAAAUUUACCCAAUUCAGUGGUUAACCCUUUGGUUAACAAUAACUCACCAUCGAAAUCCCUCACGGGCCCUAAGCUGCCUCCCGAUGGGACCGUCUGUCGGACAAGUACGUUAGUCCUGGGGCAAGUACGUUAGCCCAACAAGUGACUACUCCGGAGCUCACUGCCUGGGGGGAGCGACCACCACCAAGCUAAGAAAACAGACUAUGUGAGUAAGAUCUGAUUCCCCUUUAGAGGAUUCAACUGACAACAAUGUCACAAUUUAACUCUAACUAGUUCUUUAUACUAGUUUCAUAAUUGCAUUUCUCGAUGCUAACCAAAUCUCUAGUCAUGAUGUCACCAAGUUUACUAUUGUCUUGGUCCUUUACAGUUUCAUACAUUCAUAGGGUUCUAUGUCCACAUGCUAAUGUUCAUAUGUUCUUACUAUCAAUAAGAAUUCACACGUUCAAUAUCACUUACAUAAUGCCAAUGCCCAUACCCUAUAAUGUAUGAAUUCAGAAGUAAAUAUGCUCAAUGAAUAGCAUAGACAUAAAAGGUGAUUCAAAGACUUCGGAUAGCACCACCCACCUGUAGUGGUGUCCACAACUAGGAUCUCACGUCUCGGAAAGCGUCGACGACUAUCUCUCGCGACUCCGUGCAAAUAGGACUAGAGCGGUCUUCACCGUAAUUAGCGCGUCGCCGACCUGUCGGAAAGUCAAUUUAGACUUUCGAGCAUGUUCAAUUAUCAUUUACAUAAGACUAGGAGAGAUUAAACUAGAGUCAUCGCUCAUAUUUUACAAGUUAGCAUUUCAAUGCUACAGAAAGCGGCAACUAUAGCCGAAAACCUUCUUUUGGCGAUAUCUUUGCGUAGGUUCGUCGGAUUGCCGAACCGACUUCGCCAACGCGUUUCUUUUACCCUGAAUUUGGUUUAUACGCGGUCAAUUUCACUUUAGGAUUCUUAUUUUGCAAAAGUGCAUUGCCGGGGUCAGUUUUCUCAAAAAUACUAUUUCAAUGCAAUUUCACAAUUCAAUAGAGUAAUUCAACUCUUUAUUAGCCCAAGGUCCUCAAAUCAGUUAGUAAAAACUGUCUAAAUACUUCGAUUCAUCUUUCACUCUAUUUCAUUAUCUUUCUUUCUUGCUUUCUUUUCUUUUCUUUCCUUUCUUUUCUUUCCUUUCCUUUCUUUUCUUUCCUUUCCUUUCUUUUCUUUCUUUUCUUGCUUGCUGCCCCUGCAGGGCAGCAGCUGCUGCUGCCACUGCUGCUGCGCAUGCUGCUGCUGUUGCUGCUCCUCAGCUGCUACUCUAGCAGCUGCUGCUGCUGAUGCCACUGCUGCUGGCUGCUGCUGCUGAAGCUGCUGCUCAGCAGCUCCUGCUGAGCUGCUGCUGCUGCUGACUGCUGGCUGCUACAGCUGCUGCUGAUGCUAUUGCUGCUGCUACUCCAGCAGCUGCUGCUGCUGUCCACUGCUGCUGCUGCUAGCUGCUGAAGCUGCUGCUGCUGCUGAAGCUGCUGCUGCUGAAGCUACUGUUGCUGAAGCUGCUGGCAGCAGCUGGCUAAGCUGCUGCUGCUGCAGCAGGUUGCUUGUGCUGCUGCUGCUGCUGCUGAGCAAGCUGCUGCUGCUCGCUGCUAAGGCUGACAGCAGGGAGAAGGGAAGAAACAAAGCAAGGAGAGAGAGAGGAAAUAAAAUUCUCACCUUUCUUUUUCUUCUUCUUCUUCUUCUUCUUCUCUUUUCUCUUCUUUUCUUUUCUCUUCUCUCUCUACGUAUGGGCUGCAGAAGGGGGAUAAGGAUGGAGCUCCCCUGUUGGCAGGUUUAGUGGAAUUCCACUAAGCCAUCGCUAAUUACCAUUUUGCCCCUCGACUAAUCCGUUUAUCCGCGCGGAUCAAAUACCUUUCGCAGGCCCUUCCGAAAGUCCGAUUGAGCUCAAAUUUGGCAGGAAUGUUCGUUUUUACUUGACAAGUCCACUGAAAUUUUAACAUUUCAGUUUCGACCCCGUUUGGUCACUGCGAACUGUCCCGAACUGUAAUCUUUAUCCGAUAACUUUCAGAUGCUAUUUCUCUCUCUACAGGUGUUAGAAAAAUAUGAAACUUCAAAUCUAGCCUCAUAAUAAUGUUCCUGACAUCUCUGCGAAUUUUCAUAAUUUUCUGACGCUGUGCAUUUUCUGCUAAUUUUCUCAGUCCCAUUCUUUACAGAAAAUUUCAAAUCUUCUGUUUUCGCUCCGAUUUCACCCAAACACUUCCAAAAUACACCAAGGGACCUUCCCAAGCUACCAAUUUAAUUUGGAAAUAAUUCCUUUUCAUUUUGACAUUAUUUGAGCCGAAUUAGAAAUAGAAUCGGCUCCAAUUCCAAUACAUGGCCGUUUUGCACUACCACUUCGCACUGAGCUCUUCAAAACCCUUUGAAAACACACCCUUGGCUUUUCCAAAACUUCACAAUUGAUUCGGAGAUACUACAAUGUAUCCUUCCGCCUUACUUUAAUUCUUUUAAUCAAAGUUAGGGUCGGAAAUCCGAAAUUCUCUUUACUCUCUUUACAUUUCGUUUCGCGCCCAAUUUGCGCCGACACACUUAUUUCUCUUUGGAACUCAUUCCAACGCAUCACAAAUCCCUCGGGGAUGAUGUCCAACUAGCUCAAUCCUCACUUUGACCCUCUAGGUCAAAGUUGACAUCGCGACUCCAAGUUUCCAUAUGUUACAUUCUCCUCCCGUUAACAAAAGUUUCGUCCGCGAAACUUAGAUCAUUACCCCUUAUUGCUUAACGGAUGGAGAUAACUUUCCAAAUGCUAUUCCAAAGUUUCUCAAUUUCAUUCCAUACUAUACUGAUUUCUCCAAAUCAGUCUCUACGAACACUUUGUUCGCAUUUCCCAAUCUCAACUCGUCAUCGAUGCUUAUUUUAGCAAUUCUGAGUAAUUCAUCCAUAGGACCAAGCUUUUGCUUUCACGGUCUCUACUCAUAAUCUACUUGCAUAGAUCUACUACACUCGCUUUCAGUAUGAAUGAGUAAACCAGUACCACAAUUCGGUUCAUAAGUUACCGAUCCGAUACAGGCCGAUUGCCUAACCCAACCAUGAUACGACAUAAUGCCUCUCGCUCGCAAGCGUAGACCCAAUUAUCACGUAGCAAAGUUCUCAUUUGCGACAUCGCAUACCUGCUCCAACUGGGAGCAACCGAGACCCUAAACCACGUCAAGUCCUCGGGUUGGUUCGCUACACACUCUGAGUGUUCUCGAUCUCACGAUCUAACACGUGGCAUCCCACGUACUCGGGUUUAUGCUCGGACUACCGUCCUGACCAAAACUCUCUGCCCUACCCGUAGGUACCGGGCCGCUGCCUCUCGCAGCUGACUGCGCCUGCCCUAUGGGCCCAGGCUCCACAGUCUAAAAAGGGUCCAGGCACGGAUCGUCCCCAAGCACUACCCGCCAACGUCGUUUCACACGAAAUGCUCUACAGAGCUACAAGUAUCACUAUCGGCUCCUAAGCACCUAGUGCGAGCCACCAGCCCCGCGAGUGAUCCUUGGUACGCUUCACACUUAGCAACGCUCAAGUGCUACUGCCAACACACUCUCCUGGCUGAAUCAGAAUCCACAUUCUACGGACAGCUAUACUCAAGCGUCCUACACUAUCGCGUCUCUUGCCAGACAUCUCACGCUAGGCAAUUCAACCUAUGUCUCAAUUACGCAACCACAAUUCCUCAACUUAUUUGAGGUACAACUUAACUAACUCGCCAAAACCAGGCGAUCAUCUAACCAUGCCACAACAGUGACGCCCUUACCACUACACAAUCCAUCGGAAAUACCAUCUGGAUUUUCGAACUCUAGAAACGUCUUCUAACGUUUCUACUUUAAUUCUCAUUACCACCCGAAUGGUUUAGAGAAUAGGUCCACCAUGUCCAUCUUCAUCUCGAGCCCCAACAUUGGCUCACUGUGACUGCUCGCUAGCACGAUCCAACUGUCUAUUCCACAAUAGACAAUAUAUUCUCUUCCUCCCUGCAUGCUAGGGUCAAAUCCAAGUUUCUAUUUCAUUCCUCUCGAAGUAAGAGGUCAACCAACAGACCUUUCCGAAUUCUAGGAUAACGACUACAACUCCCUUCCAAGUGUCACUUAACAUUCGAUUAACCACUUAAGCUCAAUAUCAGUCGCUUAUCGUUCAUUCUUCACUAAUCAAUUCGCGCAUCUUCCGCCCAAAUAUCACUUAACUUCGACCAUAAGAUUCAAUUUGAAGUCCAUAGCUUAGGACUGCGUAUAACUUUGACACAUUUUCUGUCGAAGUUUCCUUAUUUCAUAAUCGGCCUUGUUUCCAAUAUCUCUUACACUGGUGUACUAAUCAUAGCUUAGCAUAUAGAAAAUCUUUCUACCUACUUUUCCAUCAAAUAUAGGCGGAUUAAACCACAUAAACGCCGUCAGUCCUACUAACGAUUGCUUGUGCUCAGCCCUUGUUGCAGUCGAAUCAGAAUCAGACGGCCCAGAAACCACUGGAGGGAUAAUCACUGAAAAAGGGGGGGCACAAUCGCUGGCGGAUCAGGUAUAGGUGCAUCCUGACUCCCAGAUACUGGUGUUGUCGCCCGUUGCGACACUAGAUCCUAUAACCUCAUUAUGUUCUCUUCCUGCCUCUGCAUAGCUCCAGCUCCAAUGCGCUCACCGGAGCACGUAGCUCCAGAACUUCGCUAGAUCCAGUCUGCUCUGGCAUCCUAGAAGGUGAUGCCGGAGUGGAUCUCGUCGCACGUCGCGACAUUUCUCUUGAAAUGAACCCUUUACACUAGUAAAACAAUACCAAUCAGGCGAAAGCAAUCAAGUAUAUUUAUACUCAACUCUUAGCUUUAUGUUGUGGGCCCCCAACAUAACUCCUUAGUUGUAUAUAAAUAACACUUGGAUCAGCCCCUAAUUAACAUUAGAGACUUACUAACAACUAACCAAAUUUAUUUAGCUUUCGCUAUCAUUAGAUUCGCGCCACUCGCGUUCCUGGUUCCUAGGUUUCCAUUCCUAAGUCCCCUAGGUCAUCCUAGACUUUCACUAUCACUUGCUCUGAUACCACUCUAUCUGUCACGUCCCGAGCCUCGCCUAUUUGGUCGAUCCGGGCCCGUACACAGACGCCGAACGAACAGUACCUCCUCUGUUCGCCCAAGGCUCAACAACAACGGAUACAUGUAUAAAGAAAUUAAACAAUUCCCAGGAUCACAUUUCAAUAUACAUGGCUUGCACGAUGGCAAGCAACAACACAAGUGAUAGUACGUCUAACUAAACAUAUAAUCCACUGUAAUUUAAAACUUUACAUAACUGAAACAUUUAGUUAUUACAUGCUUUAUAUACAAUCAUUUACAUGUCUCUGUACAUCGAAAUAGAUAAUACAUGAACCCAAAAUGGUAUACCACUAGUACUCGGGUGUCCACUAGCUAGGCUGCUGGCUCUUGCCUCGAUCCUCGGCCACAAUACUCGUACUGGAACCUGUAUGGUUAGUGGUGUGUGAGAACUACAAGAAAGUUCCCAGUGGGUUCGGCUGCCGACUUCGCCGACUCACCCACUAGGUCUAUUCAGGCAUAUGUAGGCAAGAAAAGUAAGCAAAUAGUAACCAACUAUAACAUGUAACUACUACAAUGCCUGUACAAAGCUGAAAGAAGUAACAGAUAUGAAAACUGUAAAUAUGCAUGCAUGCUUUUCAUUAACUUUACCUAAUCUUUUGAUUAACCCUCUGGUUAACAGCUGGACAAGUACGUUAGUCCAUAAAUUUACCCAAUUCAGUGGUUAACCCUUUGGUUAACAAUAACUCACCAACGAAAUCCCUCACGGGCCCUAAGCUGCCUCCCGAUGGGACCGUCUGUCGGACAAGUACGUUAGUCCUGGGGCUAGUACGUUAGCCCAACAAGUGACUACUCCGGAGCUCACUGCCUGGGGGGAGCGACCACCACCAAGCUAAGAAAACAGACUAUGUGAGUAAGAUCUGAUCCCCUUUUAGAGGAUUCAACUGACAACAAUGUCACAAUUUAACUCUAACUAGUUCUUUAUACUAGUUUCAUAAUUGCAUUUCUCGAUGCUAACCAAAUCUCUAAUCAUGAUGUCACCAAGUUUACUAUUGUCUUAGUCCUUUACAGUUUCAUAAUUUCACUGUUUAUCUCACAAUGCUAUCCAAUUCUCUAGUUAGAAUGUCACCAAGUUUACUAUUGUCAAAGUCCAUGCAUUCAUAGGGUUCUAUGUCCACAAUCUAAGGUUCACAAAUUCUCAUUGUUGAUAGGAAUUCACAUUUUCACUCGCUCAAUGCCAAACACCCUAUAAUGCGUGACUACAAAUAUAAAUAUGCUCAACGAAGAAUUAUAGACAUAAAAGGUGAUUCAAAGAGUUCGGAUAGCACCACCCACCUGUAGUGGUGUCAAUCAACUAAAAUCCACGUCUCGGAAAGCGUCGAGACUAUCUCUCGCGACUCCAUGCAAUUAGGACUAGAACGGCCGCUACCGUAAUUAGCGCGUCGUCGACCUGUCGGAAAGUCAAAUUAGACUCUUGGGCACGUUUACUUUUCACUUAUAAAGGAUUAGAAAAGAUUAAACUAGAGUCAAUACUCAUAUUUUACAAAUUAGCAUUUCAAUGCUAUAUAAAACGGCAACUAUAGCCGAAAAACUUCUUUUGGCGAUAUCUUUGCGUAGGUUCGUCGGAUUGCCGAACCGACUUCGCCAACGCGUUUCUUUUACCCUCAAUUUGGUUUACACGCGGUCAAUUUCGCAUUAGGACUCUUAUUUUGCAAAAGUGCAUUGCCGGGGUCAGUUUUCAUUUAAACCCCGUUUUUAUAGAAACCCUAACUUAUUUUGCAUCUUUUCAUUUUCUUUCUUUCAUUUUUUCUUCUUAUUCUUUCUUUCUUUUCUUUUCUUACUUUCUUUCUUUCUUUCUUUCUUUUCUUUCUUUCUUUCCUCACUUUCUUUCUUUCUUUCCUUUUCUUUCCCUGCAGGCUGCAGCUGCUGCUGCUGUUGAAGCUUCUCUGCUGAAGCUGCUGCUGCUGCGGACUGCUCAGCAGCUAGCUGAGCUGCUGCUGCUGAAGCCCUGCUGCUGCUGCUGUUCUUGCUAAGCUGCUGCUCAGCAGCUUGCGCAAGCUGCUGCUGCUGCUAAAGCUCUGCGCAAGGCUGCUGAGGCUGCUGCUGCUAACUGCCGAGCUGCUGCUGCUGAUUCUACUACUGCUGCUGCUGAAGCCCCUGCUGACAGCAGCUACCACUGCUGACUGCCAAGCUGCUGCUGCUAUUACUUGCUCAGCCUCUAGGCUGAGCUGCAGCUGCUGCUGCUGAUUGCUUGCUGCUGCUGACAGCAGCAGAGAAAAGGGAGUGAGGGGGGGAAAGAAAACAGAGCAAAGAGAGGAAAAGAAAUAGAAAUCUUUACCUUUCUUUCUUCUUUGUCUUUCUUCUUCUUCUUCUCUUUUCUCUUCUCUUCUUUGCUCCUUCUUUUCUCCUUCUCUCUCUCUGGACGUAGGCAGCAAGAAUGAAGAGGGAGGGGAUAAGGAUGGAGCUCCCUGGCAGGGGACUUAGUGGAAUUCCACUAACUUGGUGAUAAUUACCAUAAUGCCCCUCGACUAAUCCGUUUAGCGACACGGAUCAACUACCUUUCGCAGGCCCUUCCGAAAGUCCGAUUGAGCUCAAAUUUGGCAGGAAUGUUCGUUUUUACUUAACAAGUCCACUGAAAUUUUAACAUUUCAGUUUCGACCCCGUUUGGUCACUGCGAACUGUCCCGAACUGUAAUCUUUAUCAGAUAACUUCCAGAUGCUAUUUCUCUCUCUACAGGUGUCAGAAAAAUCUGAAACUUCAAAACUAACCUUAUAAUAAUGUUCCUGACAUCUCUGCCAAUUUUCGUAAUUUUCUGACACUGUGCAUUUUCUGCUAAUUUUCUCAGUCCCGUUCUUUACAGAAAAUUUCAAAUCUUCUGUUUUUGCUCCGAUUUUAACACGAACACUUCCAAAACAUGCCAAGGGACUUUCACAAGCUACCAAUUCAAUUUGGAAGGCAUUCCUUUUCAUUUUGACAUCAUAUGGUUCAUUUCGACCAAAUCGACUACAUAAUUCAGCAUUCGAGUUACAAUGGCAAUUGGAGUUCUUUUGUCACUUCGUUUCCACUUGUAUCUAUUCCCACACUUCCAAAGUGUGCCAAUGACUGAUCUCAAGCUUCUAAUUCAGUUUAGAAGUCUCUAAUUUCCAUUUUAGCAUUAUUGUGCCCACUUUGAUCACAAUUAGCUUCUAAUCAAGUUUCAGUCUAUUACAAUCUCCCCUCCUUAAAAUAGUUUCGUCCUCGAAACUCGAUUUCAUACUUCAAUUCUCCUGGUCAAAUAGAUGAGGGAAGAGAUUCCAUCACUCGCAAUUUCCACUUCUCAACGAAGGGUUCAUUCUAACAGCUCCACACUUAAAUGAUCUGACGGCAUAAUCCGCCAACAUUUCCCGUGGCUACUCAUUACUCAAGUGUCUCCUAGAGACCACUUUACUUUCUCUUUAUCCUUGGAUGCUACAAGCCACCAUCAAUGUCCAUUCGUCUUGCAACGAAUUUAUACGAACCCGCCAUUCAUGGUUCAGGCCAAAACAAACUAACAGAGUUGUCGGUCACACCGACCAUCGGUUCCCACAGGUGGACCAGGGGCCACCAACCCUACGUAGGCCUACAGCCGAAACCGAUCUCGACGACGCCUAGCGUCUCUCGCUCGCAAGCGCAAACCCAAUUAUCACGUAGCAAAGUUCUCAUUUGAGACAUCGCAUACCUGCUCCAACUGGGAGCAACCGAGACCCUAAACCACGCCAAAUUCUCGGGUUGGGUCGCUACACACCCUGUGUGUCCUCGAUCUCACGAUCUAACACGUGGCAUUCCACGUACUCGGGUCUAUGCUCGGACUACCGUCCUGACCAAAACUCUCUGCCCUACCCGUAGGUACCGGGACGCUGCCUCUCGCAGCUGACUGCGCCUGCCCAAUGGGCCCAGGCUCCACAGUCCAAAAAGGGUCCAGGCACGGCUCGUCCCCAAGCACUACCCGCCAACGUCGUUUCACACGAAAUGCUCUACAGAGCUACAAGUAUAACUAUCGGCUCCUAAGCACCUAGUGCGAGCCACCAGCCCCGCGAGUGAUCCAUGGCACGCUUCACACUUAGCAACGCUCAGGUGCUACUGCCAACACACUCUCCUGGCUGAAUCAGAAUCCACAUUCUACGGACAGCUAUACUCAAGCGUCCUACACUAUCGCGUCUCUUGCCAGACAUCUCACGCUAGGCAAUUCAGCCUAUGUCUCAAUUACGCAACCACAAUUCCUCAACUUAUUUAAGGUACAACUCAACUAACUCGCCAAAACCAGGCGAUCAUCUAACCACGCCACAACAGUGACGCCCUUACCACUACACAAUCCAUCGGAAAUACCAUCUGGAUUUUCGAACUCUAGAAACGUCUUCUAACGUUUCUACUUUAAUUCUCAUUACCACCCGAAUGGUUUAGAGAAUAGGUCCACCAUGUCCAUCUUCAUCUCGAGCCCCAACAUUGGCUCACUGUGACUGCUCGCUAGCACGAUCCAACUGUCUAUUCCACAAUAGACAAUAUAUUCUCUUCAUCCCUGCAUGCUAGGGUCAAAUCCAAAUUUCUAUCACACUCUUGCAUGUACCGCUCGGAGUUCGUAUCGUUUCCAAGUAUACAAUCUUCUUACUGAAGGCAAAUUACCAUCACUUCACUUAUCCAAUACUACACGCGGCCUUGCCGUGUGAAAGUCACCACAAUCAUUCCUCUCGAAGUAAAAGGUCAACCAACAGACCUUUCCGAAUUCUAGGAUAACGACUACAACUCCCUUCCGGGUGUCACUUAACACUCGAUUAACCACUUAAGCUCAAUAUCAGUCGCUUAUCCUUCAUUCUUCACUAAUCAAUUCGCGCAUCUUCCGCACAAAUAUCACUUAACUUCGACCAUAAGAUUCAAUUUGAUACUUCCUCAGAAGUUCAUAGCUUAGGACUGCGUAUAACUUUGACACAUUUUCUGUCGAAGUUUCCUUAUUUCAUAAUCGGCCUUGUUUCCAAUAUCCAAAGAUCUGCCUCUUUUCCACCAAAUAUAGGCGGAUUAAACCGCAUAAACGCCGUCAGUCCUACUAACGAUUGCUUGUGCUCGGCCCUUGUUGCAGUCGAAUCAGAAUCAGACGGCCCAGAAACCACUGGAGGGAUAAUCACUGAAGGGGGGGGGGCACAAUCGCUGGCGGAUCAGGUAUAGGUGCAUCUUGACUCCCAGAUGCUGGUGUUGUCGCCUGUUGCGACACUAGAUCCUGUAACCUCCUUAUGUUCUCUUCCUGCCUCUGCAUAGCUCCAACCAACGCGCUCACCGGAGCACGUAGCUCCUGAACUUCUCUAGAUCCAGUCUGCUCUGGCAUCCUAGAAGGUGAUGCCAGAGUGGAUCUCGUCGCACGUCGCGACUUUCUCUUGAAAUAAACCAUUUACACUAGUAAAACAAUACCAAUCAGGCGAAAGCAAUCAAGUGUAUUUAUACUCAACUCUUAGCUUUAUGUUGUGGGCCCCCAACAUAACUCCUUUAGUUGUAUAUAAAUAACACUUGGAUCAGCCCCUAAUUAAUAUUAGAGACUUACUAACAACUAACCAAAUUAAUUUAGCUUUCGCUAUCAUUAGAUUCGCGCCACUCGCGUUCCUAGUUUCUAGGUUUCCAUUCCUAAGUCCCCUAGGUCAGCCUAGACUUUCACUAUCACUUGCUCUGAUACCACUCUAUCUGUCACGUCCCGCUAUCGCCAAUUUGGUCGAUCCGGGCCCGUACACAGACGCCGAACGAACAGCACCUCCUCUGUUCGCCCAAGGCUCAACAACAACGAAUACAUGUAUAAAGAAAUAAACAAUUCCCAGGAUCACAUUUCAAUAUACAUGGCUUGCACGAAGGCAAGCAACAAUCACAAGUGAUAGUAAGUCUAACUAAACAUGAAAUCCACUGUAAUUUAAAACUUUACAUAACUGAAACAUUUAGUUAUUACAUGCUUUAUAUACAAUCAUUUACAUGUCUCUGUACAUCGAAAUAGAUAAUACAUGAACCCAAAAUGGUAUACCACUAGUACUCGGGUGUCCACUAGCUAGGCUGCUGGCUCUUGCCUCGAUCCUCGGCCUCAAAACCCGCACUGGAACCUGUAUGGUUAGUGGUGUGAGAACUACAAGAAAGUUCCCAGUGGGUUCGGCUGCCGACUUCGCCGACUCACCCACUAGGUCUAUUCAGGCAUAUGUAGGCAAGAAAAGUAAGCAAAUAGUAACCAACUAUAACAUGUAACUACUACAAUGCCUGUACAAAGCUGAAAGAAGUAACAGAUAUGAAAACUGUAAAUAUGCAUGCAUGCUUUUCAUUAACUUUACCUAAUCUUUUGAUUAACCCUCUGGUUAACAGCUGGACAAGUACGUUAGUCCAUAAAUUUACCCAAUUCAGUGGUUAACCCUUUGGUUAACAAUAACUCACCAACGAAAUCCCUCACGGGCCCUAAGCUGCCUCCCGAUGGGACCGUCUGUCGGACAAGUACGUUAGUCCUGGGGCUAGUACGUUAGCCCAACAAGUGACUACUCCGGAGCUCACUGCCUGGGGGGAGCGACCACCACCAAGCUAAGAAAACAGACUAUGUGAGUAAGAUCUGAUCCCCUUUUAGAGGAUUCAACUGACAACAAUGUCACAAUUUAACUCUAACUAGUUCUUUAUACUAGUUUCAUAAUUGCAUUUCUCGAUGCUAACCAAAUCUCUAAUCAUGAUGUCACCAAGUUUACUAUUGUCUUAGUCCUUUACAGUUUCAUAAUUUCACUGUUUAUCUCACAAUGCUAUCCAAUUCUCUAGUUAGAAUGUCACCAAGUUUACUAUUGUCAAAGUCCAUGCAUUCAUAGGGUUCUAUGUCCACAAUCUAAGGUUCACAAAUUCUCAUUGUUGAUAGGAAUUCACAUUUUCACUCGCUCAAUGCCAAACACCCUAUAAUGCGUGACUACAAAUAUAAAUAUGCUCAACGAA
rnacentral:lncRNA from 1 species